GGCUGCUUCUGGUGUUUUGAAGAAUUAAAAGUACACAGGUGUCAGGACUUGUAGCAGCUUGGCUAAUCAGUUUUCCAUUGAGGAGAGGAAUGAGGAACACCAGAGAUCAGUAUCAGAAAAUGGAUGAUAUUCACACUUCUGGAACAUGGACAUGGACAUCCAAUUAGGAAGGUCAUUCUGCCAUCUUCUCUCAGAGCUGAAAAGAAGCUUCAGCAUUCAGGCCUAGCAGAAAAUUCUACUCAAGCAUGUACGAUUCUCCAACUCUACUCUAACUCCUGUCAUCCAUGAUCAAACCAGAAGCGAGUGUGGUGCUCAGCUGCCGGCUGCGGUUAAACCACGGCACCAAUGAAGCAGGAACAAAAAGUUGUCCUCAAAAAGAUGAUAUGGACUGUACCUUCUGUGGCUCUCAUCCAAGAGCCAUCAUGUAAUUUCCAAAGAUUUAUACUAUUCUCGUACAAAGCCAUAUAGAUUGAAGCACAGCUAGACCCUAGCAUCUGCAUCAUGGAGGAAGUGUCACUAGCACGUUUUGGAAAGGUUCUGAGAAGCAAGAGUGGCUGAAGAAGGAAAAGAAAGAAAAAAGAUAAUAAAGGUAAAUCUUGUAAGUGAAGCAUGCUGAUAGUGAGAGUGGUAGACUUGGGCUCCUCCACGCAUACCUAUUUGCGUGAUAUGCUGAGUGCUUUCGGGUGCCUCACUUCUAAGAGAGAUUCACUUUUGACA